GACGGCGGUGGUGAUGGUGGUGGUGGUGAUAACGGCGGUGGUGAUGACGGCAGUGGUGACAGGUGUUGGUGGUGAUGAUGACGGCGGUGGUGAUGGUGGUGGUGGUGAUGACGGCGGUGGUGAUGACGGCAGUGGUGACAGGUGUUGGUGGUGAUGAUGACGGCGGUGGUGAUGGUGGUGGUGGUGAUGACGGCGGUGGUGAUGACGGCGGUGAUGGUGGUGGUGGUGAUGACGGCGGUGGUGAUGACGGCGGUGGUGAUGGUGGUGGUGGUGAUGGUGGUGGUGGUGAUGACGGCGGUGGUGAUGGUGGUGGUGGUGAUGACGGCGGUGGUGAUGACGGCAGUGGUGACAGGUGUUGGUGGUGAUGAUGACGGCGGUGGUGAUGACGGCGGUGGUGAUGGUGGCGGUGGUGAUGGUGGUGGUGGUGAUGGUGGUGAUGGCAGUGAUGGUGGUGGUGGUGAUGGUGAUGGCAGUGUUGAUGGUGGUGGUGGUGAUGAUGGUGUUAGACCCUCAGCAGUGAUUGGGGUCAGCCGCCAUGUCCACUCCACCAAUUCCACCUCCAUUGACAUCGGCGGCAGCGGCAGUGAUAGACAUAAGAAGAAGAGGAGGAAGAACAAGAGGAGGAGGAGGAGGAGGAUGAAGGGGACACACAGGAAUCAAAUGGUUGGUGUAGCAGUGCCGGGAGGUGCCAUAACACAGGGCACUCCUCACCUCAACAACAGUCUCUUCACCGACAAGUAAUUCUUCGCCAACAAGCUUUUCAGCAGCUUGGAGAAAUAGAGGAAGAAGAGGAGGAAGAAGAAGAGAAGAUGAAGAGGAAGAAGAGGAGGAGGAGGAUAAGGACUUGGUUGGUGUAGCAGUGCUGGGAGGUGCCAUAACACAGGGCACUCCUCACCUCAACAACAGUCUCUUCACCGACAAGUAAUUCUUCACCAACAAGCUUUUCAGCAGCUUGGAGAAAUAGAGGAAGAAGAGGAGGAAGAAGAAGAGAAGAUGAAGAGGAAGAAGAGGAGGAGGAGGAUAAGGACUUGGUUGGUGUAGCAGUGCCGGGAGGUUCCAUAACACAGGGCACUCCUCACCUCAACAAUAGUCUCUUCACCGACAAGUAAUUCUUCACCAACAAGCUUUUCAGCAGCUUGGAGAAAUAGACACUACCAAACGAAGAAGAGGAGGAGGAGGAGGACUGGGAAGAAGACGAGGAACACAGGAGGAGCCCAUUGAGACAAGAAGAAGAAGAAGAGGAAGAAGAGGAAGAGGAAGACUGACAGACAGACAUUCCAUUGAGACAAGAAGAAGAAGAAGAGGAAGAAGAGGAAGAGGAAGACUGACAGACAGACAUUCCAUUGAGUGUGCGGUGUCCCACAGGCAGGCAGACCGAGACGCCAGCCAUUCAAUUCUGCCGAGGGAAGGAAGUCGUGUUAGUCAACUCUGAUGACUUGUACUUUUCUCUGCAAGGGACUGUUCUGUAAGCCAGUCACAGAAGAUGUGAACUGUAUCUGUACUAUGAAGUCUUAUA